rnacentral:rRNA from 1 species
CCUACGGGUGGCAGCAGUGGGGAAUAUUGCACAAUGGGCGAAAGCCUGACGCAGCAACGCCGCGUGAGCGAUGAAGGCUUUCGGGUCGUAAAGUUCUGUCCUCAAGGAAGAUAAUGACGGUACUUGAGGAGGAAGCACCGGCUAACUCCGUGCCAGCAGCCGCGGUAAUACGUAGGGGGCUAGCGUUAUCAGGAAUUACUGGGCGUAAAGGGUGCGUAGGUGGUUUCUUAAGUCAGAGGUGAAAGGCUACGGCUCAACCGUAUUAAGCAUGUGAAACUGGGGAACUUGAGUGCAGGAGAGGAGAGUGGAAUUCCUAGUGUAGCGGUGAAAUGCGUAGAUAGUAGGAGGAACACCAGUGGCGAAGGCGGUUCUCUGGACUGUAACUGACGCUGAGGCACGAAAGCGUGGGGAGCAAACAGGAUUAGAUACCCGGGUAGUC